AUGGCAGAUGAACGUCAGGAAGGAACAUUAGGAACAUCCAUGGUGUUCCAUCCAGGAACCUUCACCAUGGAAACCCCUGUGCUCAUGGGCCUGGUCUCAAGACACAGUCAGUUGGGGAUCAGCGGCCACACUCAUCGUAGCAGAGAGGCAAGAACAGCUGGGAGAGGGUCCUUCUGUGACACCUAUUGCAUCACUGGGCUCUGUGAAGUGACUCAGCUGCCAGAACUCACACAAUAUCAUUCUGCACCAAAACCUCACGGGAAAAAUGCUCCACGACCCUCAGGCUUAAACAGCAGUACUUGGCCCUCCCCAGAUCUCCAGCUCCCUGACCCUCAAACUCCAACUGCAGCACCAGCUCCGCCCCAGGUCUCCAGCUCCACAAUCCUCAAACUACAACAGCAGCACCAGCUCCCCUGUGGAACUCCAGCUCAAUGACUCUCAGACUUGGGAGGUGGCACCGGCUCCCCACCAAGCCUCCAGCUCCACAACCUUCAAACUAGAACAGCAGCACCGGCUACCCCCUGGGUCUCCAGCUCCCUCAAAAUUCAACUAUAGCACUGGCUCUCCCCUGAGCCAUCAGCUCCACAACCCUCAACUUACACAGUGGUAGCACCAGCUCCUCCCUAGGUCUCCAGCUACACGACCGUCAAACUUGAACUGCAACACCAGCUCCUCUUCGG
rnacentral:lncRNA from 1 species